rnacentral:rRNA from 1 species
CGUGAGCUGCAGCGUGCCUAAUACAUGCAAGUCGAGGGGCAUAGAUGGGAGCUUGCUCCCUGAUGUUAGCGGCGGACGGGUGAGUAACACGUGGGUAACCUGCCUGUAAGACUGGGAUAACUCCGGGAAACCGGGGCUAAUACCGGAUGGUUGUCUGAACCGCAUGGUUCAGACAUAAAAGGUGGCUUCGGCUACCACUUACAGAUGGACCCGCGGCGCAUUAGCUAGUUGGUGAGGUAACGGCUCACCAAGGCGACGAUGCGUAGCCGACCUGAGAGGGUGAUCGGCCACACUGGGACUGAGACACGGCCCAGACUCCUACGGGAGGCAGCAGUAGGGAAUCUUCCGCAAUGGACGAAAGUCUGACGGAGCAACGCCGCGUGAGUGAUGAAGGUUUUCGGAUCGUAAAGCUCUGUUGUUAGGGAAGAACAAGUGCCGUUCAAAUAGGGCGGCACCUUGACGGUACCUAACCAGAAAGCCACGGCUAACUACGUGCCAGCAGCCGCGGUAAUACGUAGGUGGCAAGCGUUGUCCGGAAUUAUUGGGCGUAAAGGGCUCGCAGGCGGUUUCUUAAGUCUGAUGUGAAAGCCCCCGGCUCAACCGGGGAGGGUCAUUGGAAACUGGGGAACUUGAGUGCAGAAGAGGAGAGUGGAAAUUCCACGUGUAGCGGUGAAAUGCGUAGAGAUGUGGAGGAACACCAGUGGCGAAAGCGACUCUCUGGUCUGUAACUGACGCUGAGAGCGAAAGCGUGGGGAGCGAACAGAUUAGAUACCGCUGGUAGUCCACGCCGUAACGAUGAUGCUAAGUGUUAGGGGUUCCGCCCCUUAUGCUGCAGCUAACGCAUUAGUCACUCCGCCU